rnacentral:misc_RNA from 1 species
AAAGUCGUAACAAGGUCUCCGUUGGUGAACCAGCGGAGGGAUCAUUACAGAGUCUAGCGACUCCCAAACCACUGUUAAUCUACCGUACCGUUGCCUCGGCGGGCUGCCUCUGGGAGGGGCCGCAGCUACGCCCGCCGCAGGCCUCAAAACUAUACCUAUUUUUGUGGCACUUCUGAGCAAACUUCCAAACAAUCAAAACUUUCAACAACGGAUCUCUUGGUUCUG